UACGUAGGGGGCAAGCGUUGUCCGGAAUUAUUGGGCGUAAAGCGCGCGCAGGCGGCUUUGUAAGUCUGGUGUUUAAACCUAGGGCUCAACCCUGGGUCGCAUUGGAAACUGCAAGGCUUGAGUGCAGAAGAGGAGAGUGGAAUUCCACGUGUAGCGGUGAAAUGCGUAGAGAUGUGGAGGAACACCAGUGGCGAAGGCGACUCUCUGGGACGGUACUGACGCUGAGACGCGAAAGCGUGGGGAGCGAACAGG
rnacentral:rRNA from 1 species